rnacentral:lncRNA from 1 species
AGCGCUCGCUGGCUGGCUGGCUAACGGAAAGGCUGGCUGGACUCGGGGAUCCAGCCACACUGCUGGCGGGCAGCAUGCUGUCCACCCUGCGGGUGCCUUUCUCAGACUAGGGCCCGCAUGAAUUCCGCCUCCCGGGAGAAGCUGACGUCGGCAUGCCUUCCAGGGGCAGCGGCUGCCCUCCAGGGUCUGGAACUUGGGGGUCAUGCUGCCUCCAACUCCUGACUCUGUGGCCCCAAGAGGAAGAGGAAGCUGGGUGGGAUCUUAGGGGCCAUGUGGACUAGGCAGCCCACUGGGGAGUGGGCACGUGAAAAGUACUUUGGGACACGGAGUUCCAAUCAAACAGAAGACUGGAACCUCAGCACCUCCAAAGCUCACGGACCCGCUGGUGAGGGCUGCCCGGACUGCUGAUUCCACUCAGCCACUCACCACCCGCCCUGUCUGCCAGGUGCCAUGUGCAAGGAUGCUGCAUUUUCUGCUAAUGGGGGUGGGGGAUGGCAGGAGACAUAAUGGGGUGGGGAGGGGUCAUUGCUAUUGUCGUCAUCACUCUUUGUCACCCCAAUGGCAUUCUAUACCUUCUUUUGCAUCUGAUCUCAAGGCAUCAAGAAUAUGAAAAACAGCUCUUCUGUCCCCAAAAGGGAGAUCUUACCUUAAGCAAUGGGAUUACCAUUAAGUACAAGACAUUUGACAUUAAACCAUUAAGCACAAGA